rnacentral:lncRNA from 1 species
CAUAUAAAACGGGAUCUGGAGCUGGCUAAGAGUCUUCCCCCUUGAUGGAAGGGGGGUGGAGAGUUUCCUGGCCUACAGAGGGGCAAUUUGGGAAGUUGGGGACGAGUAGUUUUGUUUUGGGUUGGGGGAGGAGAGAGAGAGAGAGGAGGGAUUUCGUUGGCUUGAUAGACGCCUGAAGCCACUCUUAUCUUUCAUCCCUUCUCUUUUUUGGUUUUGGUCUUGGUUUUCCUUCCCUCACAUUACUCCUGAUCCAGCUGGGCCAUCCGGAAGAAAGAUAGGGGGAUUGGAGGGUGGAGAUUCUUUGAGUUUUCUCCUCUCGGUUUCUUCUCCCCUCUUGGGUGGUAGAGAGAGAAAAGGAGGGAGGGGGUUGAAUGGCUGCUGUGCUGUGAUGUUGCAGUUGCCGCUUGGGUACUCACGUGAAGGGGAGAUGGUGGGAUGGGGUGAAUUUCCCAUAAUGUCCCUACUUUCUCUUAUAGAGAGGUUCCUUU